AAUCCAUAGGUUAAUGAGGCGAACCGGGGGAACUGAAACAUCUAAGUACCCCGAGGAAAAGAAAUCAACCGAGAUUCCCCCAGUAGCGGCGAGCGAACGGGGAGGAGCCCAGAGCCUGAAUCAGCAUGUGUGUUAGUGGAAGCGUCUGGAAAGGCGCGCGAUACAGGGUGACAGCCCCGUACACAAAAGCGCAUGUGCUGUGAGCUCGAUGAGUAGGGCGGGACACGUGGUAUCCUGUCUGAAUAUGGGGGGACCAUCCUCCAAGGCUAAAUACUCCUGACUGACCGAUAGUGAACCAGUACCGUGAGGGAAAGGCGAAAAGAACCCCGGCGAGGGGAGUGAAAAAGAACCUGAAACCGUGUACGUACAAGCAGUGGGAGCACCCUUUGGGUGUGACUGCGUACCUUUUGUAUAAUGGGUCAGCGACUUAUAUUCUGUAGCAAGGUUAACCGAAUAGGGGAGCCGGAGGGAAACCGAGUCUUAAUUGGGCGUUAAGUUGCAGGGUAUAGACCCGAAACCCGGUGAUCUAGCCAUGGGCAGGUUGAAGGUUGGGUAACACUAACUGGAGGACCGAACCGACUAAUGUUGAAAAAUUAGCGGAUGACCUGUGGCUGGGGGUGAAAGGCCAAUCAAACCGGGAGAUAGCUGGUUCUCCCCGAAAGCUAUUUAGGUAGCGCCUCGUGAAUUCAUCUCCGGGGGUAGAGCACUGUUUCGGCUAGGGGGCCAUCCCGGCUUACCAACCCGAUGCAAACUGCGAAUACCGGAGAAUGUUAUCACGGGAGACACACGGCGGGUGCUAACGUCCGUCGUGAAGAGGGAAACAACCCAGACCGCCAGCUAAGGUCCCAAAGUCAUGGUUAAGUGGGAAACGAUGUGGGAAGGCCCAGACAGCCAGGAUGUUGGCUUAGAAGCAGCCAUCAUUUAAAGAAAGCGUAAUAGCUCACUGGUCGAGUCGGCCUGCGCGGAAGAUGUAACGGGGCUAAACCAUGCACCGAAGCUGCGGCAGCGACACUGUGUGUUGUUGGGUAGGGGAGCGUUCUGUAAGCCUGCGAAGGUGGCCUGUGAGGGUUGCUGGAGGUAUCAGAAGUGCGAAUGCUGACAUAAGUAACGAUAAAGCGGGUGAAAAGCCCGCUCGCCGGAAGACCAAGGGUUCCUGUCCAACGUUAAUCGGGGCAGGGUGAGUCGACCCCUAAGGCGAGGCCGAAAGGCGUAGUCGAUGGGAAACGGGUUAAUAUUCCCGUACUUGGUGUUACUGCGAAGGGGGGACGGAGAAGGCUAUGUUGGCCGGGCGACGGUUGUCCCGGUUUAAGCGUGUAGGUGUGUGUUCCAGGUAAAUCCGGUUCACUUUAACACUGAGGCGUGACGACGAGGCACUACGGUGCUGAAGCAACAAAUGCCCUGCUUCCAGGAAAAGCCUCUAAGCAUCAGGUAACAUCAAAUCGUACCCCAAACCGACACAGGUGGUCAGGUAGAGAAUACCAAGGCGCUUGAGAGAACUCGGGUGAAGGAACUAGGCAAAAUGGUGCCGUAACUUCGGGAGAAGGCACGCUGACACGUAGGUGAAGUGAUUUACUCAUGGAGCUGAAGUCAGUCGAAGAUACCAGCUGGCUGCAACUGUUUAUUAAAAACACAGCACUGUGCAAACACGAAAGUGGACGUAUACGGUGUGACGCCUGCCCGGUGCCGGAAGGUUAAUUGAUGGGGUCAGCGCAAGCGAAGCUCCUGAUCGAAGCCCCGGUAAACGGCGGCCGUAACUAUAACGGUCCUAAGGUAGCGAAAUUCCUUGUCGGGUAAGUUCCGACCUGCACGAAUGGCGUAAUGAUGGCCAGGCUGUCUCCACCCGAGACUCAGUGAAAUUGAACUCGCUGUGAAGAUGCAGUGUACCCGCGGCAAGACGGAAAGACCCCGUGAACCUUUACUAUAGCUUGACACUGAACAUUGAGCCUUGAUGUGUAGGAUAGGUGGGAGGCUUUGAAGUGUGGACGCCAGUCUGCAUGGAGCCGACCUUGAAAUACCACCCUUUAAUGUUUGAUGUUCUAACGUGGACCCGUUACCCGGGUUGCGGACAGUGUCUGGUGGGUAGUUUGACUGGGGCGGUCUCCUCCUAAAGAGUAACGGAGGAGCACGAAGGUUGGCUAAUCCUGGUCGGACAUCAGGAGGUUAGUGCAAUGGCAUAAGCCAGCUUGACUGCGAGCGUGACGGCGCGAGCAGGUGCGAAAGCAGGUCAUAGUGAUCCGGUGGUUCUGAAUGGAAGGGCCAUCGCUCAACGGAUAAAAGGUACUCCGGGGAUAACAGGCUGAUACCGCCCAAGAGUUCAUAUCGACGGCGGUGUUUGGCACCUCGAUGUCGGCUCAUCACAUCCUGGGGCUGAAGUAGGUCCCAAGGGUAUGGCUGUUCGCCAUUUAAAGUGGUACGCGAGCUGGGUUUAGAACGUCGUGAGACAGUUCGGUCCCUAUCUGCCGUGGGCGCUGGAGAACUGAGGGGGGCUGCUCCUAGUACGAGAGGACCGGAGUGGACGCAUCACUGGUGUUCGGGUUGUCAUGCCAAUGGCACUGCCCGGUAGCUAAAUGCGGAAGAGAUAAGUGCUGAAAGCAUCUAAGCACGAAACUUGCCCCGAG
rnacentral:rRNA from 3 species